rnacentral:rRNA from 1 species
GACGAACGCUGGCGGCGUGCUUAACACAUGCAAGUCGAACGGAAAGGCCCUGCUUUUGUGGGGUGCUCGAGUGGCGAACGGGUGAGUAACACGUGAGUGACCUGCCCUUGACUUUGGGAUAACUUCAGGAAACUGGGGCUAAUACCGGAUAGGAGCUCCUGCUGCAUGGGGGGGGUUGGAAAGUUUCGGCGGUUGGGGAUGGACUCGCGGCUUAUCAGCUUGUUGGUGGGGUAGUGGCUUACCAAGGCUUUGACGGGUAGCCGGCCUGAGAGGGUGACCGGCCACAUUGGGACUGAGAUACGGCCCAGACUCCUACGGGAGGCAGCAGUGGGGAAUAUUGCACAAUGGGCGGAAGCCUGAUGCAGCAACGCCGCGUGCGGGAUGACGGCCUUCGGGUUGUAAACCGCUUUCGCCUGUGACGAAGCGUGAGUGACGGUAAUGGGUAAAGAAGCACCGGCUAACUACGUG